GCUUCUCGGCCUUUUGGCUCAGAUCAAGUGUAGUAUCUGUUCUUAUCAGUUUAAUAUCUGAUACGUCCCCCAUCGGGGGACUACAUAUUAAAUGGAUUUUUCGAACAGGGAGUCGGAAAUGGGGCUUGCUCCGUCCGCUCCACGCAUCGACCCGGUAUUGCAGUACCUCCGGGAACGGUGCAACACUU
rnacentral:snRNA from 8 species